rnacentral:misc_RNA from 1 species
GAUGAAGAACGCAGUGAAAUGCGAUAAGCAGUGUGAAUUGCAGAAUUCAGUGAAUCAUCGAAUCUUUGAACGCACAUUGCGCCCUUUGGUAUUCCAAAGGGCAUGCCUGUUCGAGCGUCAUUUGUACCCUCAAGCUUUGCUUGGUGUUGGGCGUCUUGUCUCUAGCUUUGCUGGAGACUCGCCUUAAAGUAAUUGGCAGCCGGCCUACUGGUUUCGGAGCGCAGCACAAGUCGCACUCUCUAUCAGCAAAGGUCUAGCAUCCAUUAAGCCUUUUUUUCAACUUUUGACCUCGGAUCAGGUAGGGAUACCCGCUGAACUUAAGCAUAUCAAUAAGCGGAGGA